UGCCUCAGCCGAGAUUUGAACACGGGUCUUUCACAUUGGGGGUAGCCGUGCUAACCAUUACGCCAAUGAGGC